rnacentral:lncRNA from 1 species
AACUGACUAAUGAUAUAGUAGUUAGGUGCCAAGGUCUGCCACUGGCAAUCGUAUCUAUAGGUGGCCUAUUGUCUUCAUUGCCACCAGAGAAUCAAGUCUGGAAUGAAACAUACAAGCAACUUCGAAGUGAGCUCACAAAAAACAAUAAUGUUCAAGCAAUUCUAAAUAUGAGCUAUCAUGACUUACCGGGAGAUCUUAGAAACUGCUUCUUGUAUUGUAGCCUGUUCCCCGAAGAUCAUGAAUUAUCACGUGAGACCGUUGUACGGUUGUGGGUCGCAGAAGGGUUUGCAGUACAAAAUGAAGAAAACACACCAGAGGAGGUGGCUGAAAAAUAUCUUCGUGAAUUGAUACAAAGGAAUAUGUUGGAAGUUCUUGGAAAUGAUGAGCUAGGCAGGGUUAGUACCUUUAAGAUGCAUGACCUCGUGCGGGACCUGGCUCUUUCUAUUGCUAAAGAGGAGAAGUUCGGCUCUGCAAAUAAUUAUGACACUAUGGAGAGGAUGGAUAAGGAAGUUCGUCGCUUGUCAUCAUAUGGAUGGAAGGGCAAACCUGUGUUGCAAGUUAAAUUCAUGCGUCUCCGGACCCUAGUGGCACUUGGAAUGAAAACACCCUCUCGUCACAUGUUAUCCUCAAUUUUGUCUGAAUCCAACUAUCUUACUGUUCUCGAGUUGCAAGAUUCUGAAAUAACUGAAGUGCCAGCAUCCAUAGGAGAGCUAUUUAAUCUACGCUACAUCGGCCUGCAGCGCACUAGAGUCAAAUCACUUCCAGAAUCUAUUGGGAAGCUCUCAAGCCUCCUGACUCUCAACAUCAAGCAAACCAAAAUACAAAAGCUACCACAAAGCAUUGUUAAGAUUAAGAAGCUGAGGCACCUUCUAGCUGACAGAUAUGAAGACGAGAAGCAGUCAGCGUUUCGCUAUUUCAUUGGAAUGCAAGCACCCAAAGAGCUAUCCAACUUGGAAGAACUCCAGACCCUUGAGACUGUGGAAGCCAGCAAAGAAUUGGCUGAGCAGUUGAUGAAACUUAUGCAACUACGGAGCGUGUGGAUUGACAACAUAAGAACUGAU